AACAAAGUAACUGCAAACGACUCUACGUUCGCACUCGCCGCUUAAUUGCGGUUGAGCUUCUCAACGGCAGGCCGAUGGGCCGGGCUGAGUUCCGCAAGGGGCAAGGCUGAGAAGUCACUCACAUCGGCUGGCGUCGAACCGGGUCACUCGGUGCGGCGCGAGAUUUAGUGACUGGCGGGAAAGCUAGCGUGCCACUGCGCGAGUUGACCGUGAGAUUCAAAUCAGCUGGCUAAGCAUGUAGAUCUGCCCGGUGAUGGCUUGCGGACGGGGGUUCAAUUCCCCCCGGCUCCACCA
rnacentral:tmRNA from 1 species